rnacentral:rRNA from 1 species
UACGGAGGGUGCAAGCGUUAUCCGGAUUCACUGGGUUUAAAGGGUGCGUAGGCGGGUUGGUAAGUCCGUGGUGAAAUCUCCAAGCUUAACUUGGAAACUGCCGUGGAUACUAUCAAUCUUGAAUAUCGUGGAGGUAAGCGGAAUAUGUCAUGUAGCGGUGAAAAUGCUUAGAUAUGACAUAGAACACCAAAUUUGCGUAGGGCAGCUUUACUACACGAUCAUUGACGCUGAGGCACGAAAAGCGUGG